rnacentral:rRNA from 1 species
AUUGAACGCUGGCGGCAGGCCUAACACAUGCAAGUCGAACGAGCGGCGGACGGGUGAGUAAUGUAUGGGAACCCACCCGCGGGAGGGGGAUACAUACUGUGACCGGUAGCUAAAACCGCACACCAUCGCAUGUAUCCAAAUGGGAUUAGCUAGUGGGUGGGGUAACGGCUCACCUAGACGACGAUCUCUAGCUGGUCUGAGAGGAUGACCAGCCACACUGGAACUGAGACACGGUCCAGACUCCUACGUGAGGCAGCAGUGGGGAAUAUUGCACAAUGGGCGCAAGCCUGAUGCAGCCAUGCCGCGUGUAUGAAGAAGGCCUUCGGGUUGUAAAGUACUUUCAGCGAGGAGGCGUUACUCGCAGAAGAAGCAUCGGCUAACUCCGUGCCAGCAGCCGCGGUAAUUC